rnacentral:rRNA from 1 species
GACGAACGCUGGCGGCGUGCUUAACACAUGCAAGUCGAGCGGUAAGGCCCUUUCGGGGGUACACGAGCGGCGAACGGGUGAGUAACACGUGGGUGACCUGCCCUUAGCUCCGGGAUAAGCCUGGGAAACUGGGUCUAAUACCGGAUAUGACUCCAUGACGCAUGUUGUGGGGUGGAAAGCCUUGUGCGGCUAGGGAUGGGCCCGCGGCCUAUCAGCUUGUUGGUGGGGUGAUGGCCUACCAAGGCGACGACGGGUAGCCGGCCUGAGAGGGCGACCGGCCACACUGGGACUGAGACACGGCCCAGACUCCUACGGGAGGCAGCAGUGGGGAAUCUUGCGCAAUGGGCGAAAGCCUGACGCAGCGACGCCGCGUGA